CCCUAGCCCCGAUAGCAGCGGCAUCCUUUAUGUUCUUUCUUUAAGAACAUAAAGAUACAGCGGAGAGCGGGAGAGAGC
rnacentral:sRNA from 1 species